rnacentral:lncRNA from 10 species
UAGGAGACAGGGAUCUCGCUAUGUUGCCCAGGCUAGUCUCGAACUCCUGGCCUCAAGUGAUCCUCUCACCUCAUUGUCCGGAGUAGCUGAGAUUAUAGUGGUGAACCACCAUGCCUGGCACCCCCUCAGCUUUAUUAAGAUUGGAGAAGUGACGACGCUGAGUGGACAGAAGUAGAAUGAAAAACUCAACCUGUGAAGCACCCUGAUGUACCAAAUGACUUUUUUUUUUUCUUUUUGAGAUGGAGUCUUGCUCUGUUGCCCAGGCUGGAGUGAUCUUGGCUUACUGCAACCUCCGCCUCCCAGGUUCAAGUGAUUCUCAUGCCUCAGCCUCCCGAGUAGCUGGGAUUACAGGUGCGCGCCCCCACGCCCGGCUGAUGUUUGUAUUUUUAGUAGAGACGGGGUUUCAACAUGUUGGCCAGGCUGGUCUUGAGCUCCUGACUUCAGGUGAUCCACCUGCCUCGGCCUCCCAAAGUGCUGGGAUUAUAGGCAUGAGCCACUGCGCCUGGCCUGUACUAGAUGACUUUUAUGUGAGAUCUCAGUUAUGCAGUUGAAAGCGUUACACCAGAGAGCUGUGCCUGUUGUGCCAUUUGGAGAAGAAAGCUCGGCAAUGGUGCAGUGAGAGGGACACACGUUCCCCCUUUAGUCCUCCUCCUGGACUGAGCUGGAGAGAAACAGCACGAACAAUGAAGAGUGUAAAUUUGAAAAUAGUAGGAAACAACUCGCUUAUUUUAAUGUGUAUAUUUAAAGGCGUUAAUUCAAAACAUCCAGAAGAAAUUAAAAGCAUCCCCUUUUCAGUCAGCAAAUAUUAACAAAGCCCCCACUAUGUUUGAGUUGUGCUUAUGGAAUGAGGUCUUGAACAUGUGUGACCUUUUUUUUCUAGAAGAGCAAAGUUGACCUCUCCAGGUCAAAUGUUUAUUUUACUCAUUUAAAAUAAAAAAUUCAUUUAGAAAUAUAUUUCAUAUUUUCCAUGUUCCUUAAGUAGACUCUAUGGAAUAUAAUUAGAUCCUAGCUUAAUGAUUUACCACCCACAAUAGUACUGUCUGGCCAGUAUUUAUGCUUGGGUACAACAAUCCUCUUCCGUCUAAUGAGCAGUCUCUAACUAUACGGCACAUUUGCUGUCAUCUAAGAAAUCAGAUAACCCUGAUUACUAGAACUGUAUUUAAAGUAAGAGUCAACAUGACAUGAGUACGUGUCUUCGAAAAUAAUGUAAUUGAGUUUUAAUGAAUGAGUUUCACAACUGUUCUUUCAGCUACUGAAUGGCUCUGGGUCAAAGUUCUCAAAGACCCUGGUGAGGCUGAGAAGUCUAACCUUGAACUGUGUGAAGUAUUUCUGUACCUAAAAAUACCUAUUCAAAUAUAUUUGAAACAAGUUAUUAAAGAUAUUAAACAUAUUG